GUCCCGUUGGUCUAGUGGUAUGAUUCUCGCUUAGGGUGCGAGAGGCCCCGCGUUCGAAUCGCGGAUGGGACC